AAAGAAUACUUUUUUUCCUGCUCUAAGAAUACAAAAGGCAUAUUCAGCAGUUCUUUAGGGCAUGUACAAUGGUAAAGAAGGCGCGCUUUCUCUUAGUAGUCCACGCCAUCUAGAGAAGACGAUAGAUGAAAUUGUGUGGCUGAGGGAAGACAAGUGGUACAAUGGGAAAAUAGCCUUCUCUUAUUUCGUAAGAGAUCAUCCCUUAGCUAAGGGAAGACAACCUUCUCUUUCUUCCGUCUCUCUCCUCCAACUGAGCAAAAAUCCAACGUGGCAACGUGGGAACCUUGGAAAUAUGUGGUGCUUAUAAGCUACCUGUGGCGGUUGAUGCAGCCAUGGGUGCACGGUUUAGUUUGGAUCAAGUUAGUGCUAUGUUGUGUAUACUUCCUGUAACCUCCUGAUUCUACGCUAUUGUAUAUUCUGAUUUUUUCUGUACCUUCUGUACCUUCUUACUAUUGUAAUUGGUUCACUUGGUAAUGGUUCAUGGUCUGUGUUAAUAUAAUUUUUUGAUUUGGUUUUUCA